GACGAACGCUGGCGGCGUGCCUAAUACAUGCAAGUAGAACGCUGAAGGAGGAGCUUGCUCUUCUGGAUGAGUUGCGAACGGGUGAGUAACGCGUAGGUAACCUGCCUGGUAGCGGGGGAUAACUAUUGGAAACGAUAGCUAAUACCGCAUAAGAGUAGAUGUUGCAUGACAUUUGCUUAAAAGGUGCAAUUGCAUCACUACCAGAUGGACCUGCGUUGUAUUAGCUAGUUGGUGGGGUAACGGCUCACCAAGGCGACGAUACAUAGCCGACCUGAGAGGGUGAUCGGCCAAACUGGGACUGAGACACGGCCCAGACUCCUACGGGAGGCAGCAGUAGGGAAUCUUCGGCAAUGGACGGAAGUCUGACCGAGCAACGCCGCGGGAGUGAAGAAGGUUUUCGGAUCGUAAAGCUCUGUUGUAAGAGAAGAACGAGUGUGAGAGUGGAAAGUUCACACUGUGACGGUAGCUUACCAGAAAGGGACGGCUAACUACGUG
rnacentral:rRNA from 1 species